GUCGAAGCUUGCUGGAUAGAAUGCGGGACUUCAGCGCGGAUUCUGCGGCGCUGAUUCCACGGGGGCGAGGCAG
rnacentral:sRNA from 1 species